CCCUCAAUGAGCUUGUUAGUGCCCUAACAAUAAACCCAUCAAAAUCCCGAUGUGUGUAUCGCUUGAUGCGCAUUCUGAUCCACACAGGCUUCUUUGCACAGCAAAAGCUAAUUAGCAGCCGAAAUAAUAAUGACGAAGAACAAGGCUAUGUUCUAACAAAUGCUUCUAAACUUCUCCUAAAAGACAACCCCUUAAGCGUUACACCUUUCUUGCAAGCCAUGCUAGAUCCUAUUUUGCUAUCACCGUGGCAGCAACUGAGAACUUGGUUUCAAAACGAUGACCCGACGCCGUUUGAUACAGCACAUGGGAAGACUCUUUGGGAGUAUGCUGGGGACGAGCCAAAACUUAACAAUUUUUUCAAUGAAGCCAUGGCAAGUGAUGCUUGGUUGGCAACAAGCGUGAUGAUACAUAAGUGUAAGGAUGUGUUUGAAGGUUUGAAUUCGUUGGUGGAUGUGGGCGGGGGCAUAGGAACCGCGGCCAAGGCCAUAGCUAAAGCGUUUCCAAAGUUGGAGUGCACUUGUUUUGAUCUGCCACAUGUGGUUAAUGGCCUCGACAGCGAUUUGGCCAAUCUCAAAUAUGUUGGAGGGGACAUGUUUGAGGCAAUUUCCCCAGCUGACGCUGUUCUACUCAAGGUACGUGUACUAAUUUCUAUAUUUUAAAUAAAGUGUUUUCUUGAGCAUAAAAUUAAUUAUAUACUAGAAGGAUCUCAGAUUACGUAUGUACAUCAUAUAUUUAUUUAAUUUUCCGUUUCGAGUCUUCAAUUAUUCUAAAUUCUAAUAUUAUUGGUGAUGACAAGCAGUGGAUAUUACAUGACUGGAACGAUGAAGAAUGCGUGAAGAUUCUUAAGAAAUGUAAGGAAGCAAUCACAAGCGAUGGUAAGAAAGGGAAGGUGAUUAUAAUAGACAUGAUCAGAGAGAAUAAAAAAGGGGAUGAUAAGUCUAUUGAAACACAACUCUUCUUUGAUAUGUUGAUGAUGGUCUUACUCACCGGAACAGAGCGAGAUGAGAAAGAAUGGACCAAACUUUUUACGUAUGCCGGUUUUAGUGACUAUAAAAUUAUCCCCAUUUUAGGUUUAAGAUCCCUUAUUGAGGUUUAUCCUUAAUAAGUUGGUUAUGGCCACAAGGGCUUUGCUAGUUUCAAAUUCCGAAAAAAAAAAUUUAAAUCGAGUAUUACUCCCCCUUCUAUCUUUUAAGGGGAAAAAUAAAGAGUUGUUUAAUUGUGCUGUAAUUCUCAUAUCAAAUGCAUUUUUAUGUAUUCUUGCAACAUUUUAUUUUACUUGGAUUCUCCAUCGAUUUGACCUUACCUAAUGUGUUGGUUGCAAAAAGAGAGUGGUAAAGAAAUAUAAAUUUUGUGAAAUAAAUAAAGAGGAAGCAUUCUGUACUAUUUAUAUGUUUUAGCAGAUAUGUCAUAGUUAAGUUGUUUUAAAGGAGAAUGAUAAUUUGGUCCCUCUUACAUACUAUAUGUACUACGUAUUUAAAUUAGGUAUCUAAGACAUUUUUAAUAUUCGAUUUCAUCUAUGGUGUUUAAAUCGUAAUGGAGAAAAACACACUGUAUAUAUUGAAGGACUGCAUUGUUAUUGAAUUUAAAUAAUCUCUCACAUAGAAGAGAUGUACUAAACGAUCUCCGUGUACGUAUAAAGUGAAAAAACUUCCAAGUUUCCUAUCUCAGUCGUAGGGAGAGAGCUCCAAGUUUCUAACAUUUCUAAAAGGAAUGUGAAAGAGAGGGAUUUAAUUCUUGACUUGGUAACGGAAAUAUUCCAUUUAAGUUUUAACUAGCCAUUUGCAAUUCAAUUACAUUUUUUUUCUAAUGCGUUUAUAGUGCAUUGUUAGUUUUAGUAAUGGUUUAAAUUUCAAGCAAGGGUAUGAACAAAAUUUAUUAAAACGACUAGGAAAUAGAACCGCACUUUGCGCGGCUUUAAAAAAAAAUUUAAUAUUAUCCUUUUUUUUCUUAUUCUAUUUUUAACGAUUUAUUCUAUUCGAUUAAGAGAAAAGACUUCAAAAAAAUGAAAAAAAUAAAGUAAAGUUAAAACCAAAAAGACUUUUUUAAUUAUUUAAAAUUACAUUAGCUAAAUUAACACCACAGAAAUAGAAGUGCCAUAGAUGCACCUUGUGUAAGCCAAAACUUGGAAACCUGAGGUUGAUAUAUCAUUGGGAGGCCACCUAGAGAAGGAGAAGAAGAUUCAUCACAGUAGCCUUUGAGUAUGUUCCCUUCUUCAACAGUGAAUCCGAGAGAGGUGAGCAUUGCAGGCCAGCAAUUACGGGUGAUAAUAUCAAUAGCGCGGCAACAUUCAGGGCUAAUAUCAGCCUGGCUAUUAAGGAGUAAUAUAAUAAUCUCAUUUGAGCAUGAUUUCAGCUCCAUUAACACGUUCUAACACUCCGUUAGGCCUCCGCUAGCUUCAAGUCUUGUUACAAGAUCGUAGUCUGGUUUCAUAUUGUUGUUGAGGCGAUCAUUCCUGCUGGUUGCAUUUGCAAUAUUUGCCAUGAUGAGGCAAGUAAGGGCCAAAAUGAAAAACACAUGUUUUAGUCCCAUUGUUAUUUUCUGUUCUUUUAUGUUGUGUUUAUAUUUAUGUGGGAUAUCAUAUUUUUUGUUGCUAUUUAUGAAUUAAGGUGAGGCAGAUGAGAAGAGUGAUUAAACAUAUUUAUAAAUUAUUGCUUAAUUUAUGAUCAAUAAGGUUUCAAUUAGAGAAGAUAGUGAGUCUUUUGAUGAACUGUUACAUAUUGAUUGUGUAAUAACAAUCAAAUUAAUUAUGAAAGAUGAAAAACUAAAUUUGAAAGAAAAUUUCUCUAUUUAUUAGAUAAUAGAUAAUAUACAAAGAUGAUAAAUGGUGAUGCCACAUCACUUCUUAUAGUCCCAACUUUAUAUAAAUAUAUAGAUGGCAACGAUAAUAAAAAUGGUAUUAUCAUAUUAAAUCAACUAUUUAAUACACAAAAAAAUCAUUAUUCUAAUCAUUGCAUUAUAACUAAUAAUUUGAAUUUAAAUAAAUACUUAUUAGACGUUAAUAGACAAAUUUACUGAGAAGUUUGAUUUGAAUAAUACCUAAAUUAAAUUUAUUUUUUAAUCCCAAAAUCGAAAUGGGGCAGCCAAACAAAUAAACUACUUUUAAAACUAAAUAAUAAUUUUUCAAUAAUUUUAUUACAUUUUUUUAGUUAAAAGUACUUAAUUAUGUUUGUCCCCAAAAAUCUAAUCUAGUGGUUCUAUAGAGAAAUGAAUAAAAUUCAAAUUAAUUUUUAACUCUAUGUUUCUUAAGAUUCAAGUGACUAAUUAAAUAAAAAAUUUUAAAACUAUUCAAAAUCACUCUGAUGUCCGUCGGACAUAAAUAAUAGAGAAUUUUCUAUGCAGGAUAGGGGCCUAAAUGAGUCAUUAUUGCUGACGUAUUUGCUGAUGUUGUUGGGUAAAGUAGACACGCAACUUAAGUGAAAUUGAAAAAUAACGAGACACAAAAUCACAUGGGCACACCAAAAUUACGUGGUUCAGCUUUUAGCCUACGUCUACUGGCGAAGACAGAAGGAAAAUAUUUUACUAGUGAAAAAAAAUUAUAAGUAUUAUAGUAUUUUAUCUCACUACCCAAAAUCCCAAUACACCCAAACUCUCAAAUCACUAUAACAAGAGCUUAUAAUUUCAAGCUCUCUUAACUCUCUCCCUAAAAUGCUAAAUCGCUCUCUCUCAAUCGAAUGAAUGAGCUCUCCCUCAUCACUUCUUUUUAUAGGAAAUAUCACGGCCAAAAAAGUCAACAAUUGCAUCAAAAAUUCAAACAACACAGCUAGCAAUCAGACCAAAUUUUAGCAAAUUUUCCUCCACCAGCUAAGCACCGAAUUUGGUGCUUGUAAUGUCAAAAAGGGAUGUGGAAUUCUUGCUCUUCUAGAAAGAGCAGCCCACCUCAUUUGACAUUCUCCCACUUGGAGAUUAGAUUGGGGACCAAUCAAUCUCUACACCAUCCUUUCUACUUCGCCUUAGUCAUGUUGCUUACCUUUCUGCUAGGCCAUAAGAGGAUCUACUCCAGAUAAACUUGUCUAUAUUGAUUGGCUUGGUCAAAACAUCUGCUAGGUUCUCCUUGGUAUGAAUUUUCUGUAAAUCUACACUUCAAUCUUCCAUUACUUCUCGAACGAAGUUAUACUGUACGCCUAUGUGCUUUGUCCUAGAAUGAAAGGUUGGAUUCCUUGUAAUAUGCAAGGCACUCUGACUAUCACAAAACAUAUGAAUUUUCUAUUGUUUGUGCCCGAGCUCCUCCAAUAACCUUUGUAUCCAAUUAGCUUCCUUUCAAGCUUGUGUAGCUGCCAUAUAUUCUGCUUCGGUUGUAGAUAGAGCCACAACGAUCUACAGUUUUGAAACCCAGCUUACAACUGCUCUCGCAAGUGUAAACACAUAGCCAGUAGUGGAUUUUCUUUUAUCAAGGUCUCCUGCAAAAUCUAUAUCCACAUAUCUCUUGACAGUAAACUUUUAUCCUCUAUAACAUAAUGCAACAUCUGAGGUUCCUUUAAUAUAUAUCAGAAUCCUCUUCAUAGCUAUCCAAUGCUCUCCACUAGGAUUCGCCAUGUAUUGACUGACCGCUCCCACUGCUUGUGCAAUGUCUGGUCUAGUACAUAUCAUAGCGAACAUCAAACUUCUCAUUGUUGAUGCAUACGGUACUCGAGACAUCUCAUUCCUCUCUGCUUCAUUGCUAGGACACAUACUUGAGGAUAAUUUGAAAUUAACAGGAAGUGGGGUAGAAAUUGGCUUACAAUCGUGCAUGUUGAAGCGUCGCAGGAUUUUCUUCAAGUAGUUCUUCUGAGAAAGCCAAAUCUUCCUGUUAUUUCUGUCUCGUGAAUUUGCAUCCCUAGAAUCUUGUUUGCUAGUCCCAAAUCCUUCAUUUCAAACUCCCUAGCCAAUUGUGCCUUCAAUUCUUGGACUCGAUUUUUGUUGGGGCCUGCUACCAACAUAUCAUCCACAUAUAACAACAAAAUGAUGAAAUCAUUAUCUUUAAACCUCUUGUAAUAUGCACAAUGGUUUGAACUUGUUGUAUCUAAGGCUUAUGAUAAAGGAAUCAAAUCUCUUAUGCCAACACCUCGGCGCCUGUUUGAGACCGUAUAGAGAUUUGUUCAACCUGCAAACCAAGUUAUCUUUUCCCUUUUCAGCAAAACCUUCUGGUUGGAGCAUAUAAAUUUCUUUUUCAAGUUCUCCAUAAGGAAAUGAAGUUUUCACAUCUAACUGCUCUAGAUGUAUGUCAAAUAUAGCACACAUCGCCAAGACUAUUCUGAUUGUCGUGAGUCGAACCACCAGAGAAAAUAUUUCGUUGAAGUCAAUACCUUCUUUCUGAGCAUAUCCUUUCACCACCAAUCUUUCAUGAUACCGCUCCACUUGGUCAUUGUCAUCACGAUUGAUCUUGUAGACCCAUUUGUUACUAAUGGUUUUUCUUUCAUGUGGUAGUGGUACAAGUUCCUAUGUCUUAUUUUUAUGUAGAGCCUCAAUUUUUUCCAGCAUUAUUGUCAUCCACAAAGCAACAUCUGAGCUAUUUAAAGCUUCAUGGAAAGUUGAUGGUUCUCCAUUCUCUGUUAAAAGAUAGUAUGCAACAUUAAUCUCUGUGACAUAAUCCGAGUGCCACGAUGGCAGUCGUCUCUCAUGAGUUGACCUACGAAUUUCUGGAGCCUCGAACUCGACUAGUUCUUAUUGCUCGUGCUCUAGUACUGCUUUAGAAGAAUCUGAAUCUUUUUUUUUUAGAUUAUUUUUCACAUAUACCGGCAUAGUCUCUGACUUUUCUUUUCAGUGCUACCAUCAUCAUCUCUUCUUUGUAGUUGAUCUUCUACAAAGAUAACAUCUUUGCUGAUAAUGAUCUUGUGGGUAGUGGGAUCCCACAGACGAUACCCCUUUACUCCAUCAGUAUAUCCCAAGAAGAUAAAUCUUUUAGAUUUUGGAUCCAACUUUACUCUUUUUUGGGCAUUGUACAUCACGUACACAGGACAUUCGAAUGCAUGUAGGUGAGAGUAAUAUGUUGGCUUUCCAGUCCACAUCUCCAUCAGAGUCUUCUAUUCAGUUGCUGUAAAAGGCGACCGAUUUACUAUAUAAUAGGCAGUUUUGUCUGCUUGUCCCCAGAAUGAAUUAGGUAGGCCCGCAGUCCUCAAUAUAGCUCUUAUUUUUUCUAUAAGAGUUCUGUUCAUCCACUUUGCCACUUCAUUUUGUUGAGGAGUGUAUGCCACCAUAAACUACCUCUGAAUACCUUAUUGCUUACAAAAAGCAAGAAACUCGUCGUCUGUAUACUCUCCAUCAUUAUCUGUCCUCAAGCACUUGAUCUUUUUCUCGGAUUCAAGUUUAACCCGCGCUUUGUACUGUUUGAACACUGGAAACACAUCUGACUUUUUCUUGAUUGAGAUACGCCCAACAUCUCCUAGAAUAAUCAUCAAUGAAAGCCACCAUGUACUUUGCACCUCCCAUGGACAUAUCCGGUGAUUCCCAAACAUCAGAAUGAAUCAAAUCUAAAAUGUAUUUACUUCUAGCAACAGAUCUACUGAACUUUAAUCUAUGCUACUUACUUGUAACACAAUGCUCACAAAAUGGUAAGCUUACCGAUUUGAGCCCCGAAAGUAAUUUUCGCUCAGAGAGAAUUUUCAAACCUUGUUCUGACAUGUGGCCGAGUUUGAGAUGCCACAUCAUCGUUGAUUCUUCUCCAUUAGAAGCGACACAUGCAUCAGCUUCCUAUAGUGUUUCUCCUUUAAGCAUGAAUAGAUUAGAACCGAUCUUUUCUACCUUCAUCAAUACAAGCACGCCUCUAGUAAUCUUCAUGAUCUCAUUUUCAACAUGAGUUUUGCACCCACGACUAUCUAUUUGUCCCAAGGACAAUCAAUUUUGUCUUCAGGCCUUUGAUAUGUCGUACCUCCUUAAUUGUGCAAAUUGUACCAUCAAACAUUUUGAUUUUAAUAGUACUAAUACCAGCGACCUCCAAGGCAUGAUCAUCUCUCAAAUAAACAGAUCCUCCUGAGAUAGAUUCAUAUGUGUGGAACCAUUCUCUCUGAGAGGUCAUGUGCCAGGUAGCUCCUGAGUCUGUGAGCCAGACAUCGGAUAGUCGUUUUCUGCCUUCUGAAACAAUUGUUGCCUCGCUGUAGAGAAUUUCAACAUCAUCUGAAGUACUUGCUACACACCCCUGAGCAUUUGAUGACUCAGGUUCUUUGCACUCUCUUCUCUUCUGGUUGUUCCAACACUUUUCUUGACGUGCCCUUUCUUGCCACAGUUGUAGCAUUUAACAUUUUUCUUACUUCUGGAUUUUGAUCUACCAUGAUUGUCUCGUCACCAAUAGCGCCUCUACUUGUUGCGAACUUGUUUGUCUGUCUUCCUUACUUUUCCGCCUGCUCUCCUCAUUUAAUACGAAGGCUGCAAUAUCGUCGAAAACUAGACUGUCUGCUGGGUUGUUGUUCGUCAGGUUGAUGGUGAGUUGAUCAUACGAAUCUGGUAGACUUUGAAGUAGAAGCUCUACACAUUCAUUUUCCUCUAUUUUAUGACCCAACGUUGUAAGUUGUGAAAAUAGAGUCUUCAAGGUGUUGAUGUGGUCAGUCACUGUUGUAGAUUCCGCCAUUUAAAGAGUAUAAAGUCUCUUUUUUAAGAAGAUCUUAUUGUGCUGCGACUUAGCCUCGUACAAUUUUGUGAGAGUAUCUCAUAUUUCCUUUACUGUCUUUUUCUCUACCACACUGGAUAAUACUCCAUUCGCAAGUGCCAAGUGUAGAUCAAAAAUAGCAUUGUCGUCUAUCUCAUUCCACUUGUCAUCAGUUAUCUCCAUAGGUCUUUCUCCAAUUGCUGUCAAGUAAUUAUUUUUCCUCAUUAUAACUUUUAUCUUCAUUUUCCACAACAAAAAAUUAUUUCCGUUGAACUUCUCAAUUUUGUAUUUUGCCGCCAUCGCUUUUCACUAAAAAACUAACUUUGCUAGGAUUGGCACCAAUCGUUUCACAUGAACAGUAACUGUAUACGUGAACAGUACCGUAUACGUGAAUAGUACUUUUACAUGAACAGUACCACCGACUUCAAAAAAUACAACCAGUAGCUUUGAUACCACUAUUAGGAAAUUGAUGGGUGAAGCAGACACGCAACUUAAGUGAAAUUGAGAAAUAAUGAGACACAAAAUCACACGGGGACACCAAAAUUACGUGGUUUGACUUUUAGCCUACGUCCACAAGCGAAGACAGAAGGAAAAUAUUGUACUAGUAAAAAAGAAUUACAAGUAUUGUAUUAUUUUAGCUCACUACCCAAAAUCUCAAUACACCCAAACUCUCAAAUCACUAUAAUAAGAGCUUAUAAUUUCAAGCUCUCUUAACUCUCUCUCUAAAAUGCUAAAUCGUUUUCUCUCAAUGGAAUGAAUGAGCUCUCCCUCGGCACUUCUAUUUAUAGGAAAUAUCAUGACCAAAUUUUAGCAAAUUUUCCUCCACUAGCUAAGCACCGAAUUUGGUGAUUGUAAUAUCAAAGAGAUGAGGAAUUCUUACUCUUCUAGAAAGAGCAGCCCACCUCAUUUGACUGAUGUAACGAUCCUUUUUUUUUUAAAUCUUAAUAAGUGAAGAUGCUGCUAAGCUUCUUGACCCCCCCCUCUUUUUUUUAACAAUUGACAAAGUUUAAAUAGAUUUAUUUAAUGUUCUAUUUCUCUUAUAUCUAAUUUUUUUUUAAUACAUAAAAUGGGCUACUGAGUACUGAGCAUCAAUAUCGUUCGAAAUUGUAAAUUAUUAUAUAAUUUUUUAUUAAAAAAACCUGUAAAUCAAGGGGCUAGUCUAUAAUGCCUGCAGUUGAAAAUUCCUCAAUGGUAGGAAGUUAACGAAGGGAGUUAAUUCAUAUAAUACGUUGUCUAUAUUUAAGCUAGUUUCUUGUUAAUGACAGAUUGUACAGAGAAAACGGAUUCGCACUUGGUGCUGAUCUAUAUGCAUACACAGUCAUUAGGUCUUUCAAAAUCCAAAUUUAUUUGAAUAAAAGCAUUAUAGUAAAAGAAUUGAAAUCUUGGAAAACAUGGUACGAUAAAAUAGAUUAUGCAUUUAUUGUGAUCUAUUGUUCUGUACAAUUAAUAAAAAAGAUUGUGUGGUAGACUGAUAUUUAACUGUUUAGUAUGGAUUACGCAGAUCUUGUGAUCUAUAAAUUGUUCUGUUGUAUGGAUUAUAUGUGAUAAUACCACACGCCCCCUUUUGAUCUAUUAUAAUUAUUUUGGUUGUAAAUUUCUGAUUGAUUUAAUUUAACAGCUGGGAUUAAAACAAUUGAGAUACAUAUUGGCCAACAAAUUAAACCUCUCAAUUAAUUCCACUAGAUACUACAAAAUCAAACUCAAAAUUUUAAGACUCUAUUAGAUAGAUUGAGAUUUAACUGUUUUUCUGAUCCUGUAAGAAGUCAAGUCGUUAGAGGAAUUAAGCUUCCAUAAUAAUUAAGGUCAACAUAUGGUCAUCUCAAAGCCUAUAAAUUAAUCUGGCUUAGCCAAUUAUUUAUAUGUUACAUCAUCAACUGGGCAUUGUCUUUUACAGAGAUAAAGAUUUAUUUCUUUCAUCUUAAUCAGCCGAGUUCCAGAUUGCAGGCUUGUUAGUGAUCAUGCAAUCUCUACUUUAUUUCUGAGCAUUGAGUAAACUUAUAACAUGGAUGAUACAUCAUUAGGGUCGUCCCAGUACAAAUAACAGAUCUAUCUGCAAAAAUUAGCAAUAUGUAUUGUCCAAUGAUGAAUUUGAAAUAACAUGGGUACUUAAAUAAAUAAAAAUAAUUAAUUUUAUUGAAAGCAAUAGGGUGCGUAUAUUUCCACCCCACUAUUUUUAUAAACCCACCCCACCUUCAUAAAACAAUUACAAUAAGUUCACAUUAUUUUAUAGAAUUACAAAUUAAUAAUAAGUUUGAAUAAUUAAUUAAUUAAAUCAUUCUUAUAAUAUUUUUUUUCUUACUUUGUCUUUUAACAAUCUUUAACAAUUUAAGGUUGUUUUAAUAUAAGUUUAAUUUAACUAAUUUACCCUUAUAAUAUAAAAUAACCAAAUUACCCUAAGAAAUAUAUAUUAUUGUAACUAAUUGUUUAGGCAUUUAGAUUUAUGUUUUAUAAUCUAAUAUGUUUUAUAUAAAAUUUAAUAAAUUUCAAUACUCCAAAUGUCCUAAUUACAUCUCGUUAGUUUAGUGGAAUAUUAAUAAUCAUACUAAAAAAGUACUACUUAUACAUAAUUAAAAUAUACAAAUUUUUUGUAUAAAAAUUUAUUAAAGUUAAAGUAAAUUUUUAGAUAUUCUUGGUACUUUUACCUUAUGAGGUUAGAAUAAUUAUAUUAAUUUAUGUUAAAACAACCUUAUUGAUCAAAUAUAAUAAAAAAAAUAGUCUCAUAAAAAAUUAAUUAAUGAAUAUGGAUUUAAUUGGUUAAAUUUUUAAAUUUCUUCUUAAUUUGAAUUUUUAAAAAAUAAUGUGUACUUGUUAUAAUAAUUUCUUAAAAUUGGGGUGGGUUAAUAAAAUUUAUGGGGUGGAAAUAUCACCACCCAAAGCAAUAAAUUGUAGAAAGUAAAGAACAUUGGUAUUUUUACUUUGAACCACAUCCAACUAUUAAGCAAUUUAUUAAGGAUAAAUAAGUAUCACAACCAACGGGACUAGAACAAUUUAAGACUCCCUUGUACAAAUUACCGUAAAUUAUAUACAUUUGUUGGAAUUAACCUUGCCUGAGAUAUUAUUAUCACUGAGAUACAAUCCUCUAAAAAUAGAGCAAUUAGACAAAUUUUUUAAAGUUUCUCCAAUGAAGAGACUGCCAUCUAGUUUUAACCACGACAAGUUUUUCAAGUUAAGCACAAGGUGUUCAGGGAUUUCACUAGUAAGUUGAUUAUUAGAUAAGUCCAGACUUCUCAAUCCGUUCAUGUAACCAAAUGAAAAGGGAAUGCCACCAUGGAAGGUAUUUCUAGGAAAGAAAAACUAACCUCUAUACUUCCAAGUCAUAUGCACUGUGAAUCGGCAAUUGUAAUUUUCUAAUUUUGGAGCAAGUUACGCGUGUAAUAUAAUACAGAUUUUAAUAUCUAUUGUAAGUUGAACAACUCUGCAUCGAAAUUUCCUAAAAAACACCACCACAUAUCAUGUUUAGCAACAGAUUUUAUAUGUAGUUUAUGUAUUAAAAAAAAAAGAGAGAAAUUUGGAAAUGAAGUUUUAUCUUCUUCUGCAAUUCCUCUUUCAAGUGCUUGAGGUGGAAGUGACACCAAGCGCCACUCUCAUCACAUGGCCACAUCUUAAAAAAUGCAGUAACAGCAAAAUCAAACUCUGACAGUUCAAUUAUGUUUCUUAAUCACAAAGUAACCCAAUCAAUCAAAAUCCAUUGGUGGAAGCGGUUGAAUACAAGUAUUGCAAGUUGUGGUGAAACACUCCAAUCAUAAAAUAGAUCUAAAAUCUAUGGGAGUAGAUUAUCACCCUAUUUGUGAUUGAAGAAGUAUCCCCAGUAAUGAUGUAUUGUAUAAUUGAAUUCACUUGCUUAAUUUUCAUCUUCAUCUUCAUCUUUUACUUGAAGUAGUAAUGGACGUAAAACCCCCCACAAAUAAUAACUUGUUAUUUUAAUUUUUAACUUGUGUCUACUUCAUCCCUAUUGAAUCAAAUUUGGAAACCAUAUACCUAAAUGGUAUAUCAACUCAAAUUGUGCUAUUAAUGAAUUGUUGUCAUUUGAGGCUUUUAAGUUUUUUUAUUAUUGGCAUCGUUGUCUCAAUAAUAUUAUAAUUCAUUUAUUUCUUUUAUCAUGGAUUUGUUUCCUUUUAUCAAAGAUUUAUCUAGUUUUGGGAAUUAAUUAAGAUUAGAUUAUGUGAAAUAUUGGAGAAUAUUUUUCGAGGCAUAAAAGAAGCAAAUUGGCAUGUAAAUGAGGAUUCCAUAUCAAACAAUUUUAAAUAAAGAUGACUACUGCAUUGGUAAGUAUAUAAAGUAUUUAUGUAAUAUUGGACUCUUAUGGAAAUAUAUCCUAGUAGCAAGUAUUUAUAGAAUAUUAGACUCUUAAGGAAGUAUAACUCAAUGUUCCUACUAGGGUUUGAGUGAAAUACUACUCUUGUAUAAAGAGAAGUACUUCACACAUUGAAGCAAGUGAAGAAAACAUAUCAUAUUUUAUAUAAGAAAAGCAACCAAUGGAGAGAACAAGAAGAAAACUAUUUGGUCGCAUAUGUUGUUUUAUAUCUCAAUGAUGUUUUAGUCUUUUUCAUCAAGUCUUCAUCAUAUCAAGUCUUUCAUUAGAAAUUCAUUAUAUUUACUUUGGUCUCUUCGGGAUGAAGAGAUUGUUCGUUUUGUUAAGGGGAUCUCAAGAAAAGUAGCAAACACAUUUGAAGACGAAGGGUUCUUACUAAGUAAGGUAAACUAAGUUAGAUACAACGAGGUGGUGACAAGAGUGAGUGGGUGUUUGAAAUUGCAUAAGAAUUCAAUAGACUGUAAUCUUUUCAUUACUUAGUGAAUUGCUUAUUGUCUAGGCAUGCCCCCAUGGAUGUAGGAUUGUGAUCUGAACCACGUCAAAAUCUUUUGUGUGCUUUACCUUCUGCAUGUUAUUGAUUCUAGUGUAUUUAUGAUGAAUGAAUAGUAAAUGAACAGUGCGAUGAGUAGUUACGAUGAGUAAUGCUAUAAAAAGUACAUGUGAGCAGUAACAUGUAUGAACAAUAUGGCACGAACAAUAAUUGAUGAACAAUGCUUUUAGGAUUAAUUCAUUAGGGGACUUAGUUUUUCUUUUUCUUUUUUUAAAUUUUGCCCAACUUGUUUUAAUAGAUCUAAAUUUUUAAUAAGUGGCAUCAAAAUGAUGUCACUAACAAUUUAUUUAGUGAGAUUUUAAGAUCUUGAUAACUAUUUGUAUUAGAUGCAAAGAAUGACUACUUUUAUUGAAUCCAUUGAUAUAAGAGUUGUGGAAUGUGUAAGAAAAGACUAUACUUUACCCACCAUGUCUGAUCAUGAUGGAAACAUAAUUCUUGAGCUUGUGAAUGAAUAGUCCAAAAACCGAAAUUCAAUAAUCUGGCUUUAAUUCCUAGGACUCAUUAUUAUUUUCAAUGGAGUGGACAUCAAUCGACAUGAUUUAAUGAUAAAACUUCUUAAGAUUGCUAAUACUUCAUAUACUCUUAGUAAAAGAAUUUCUGAGGAAGUAUCAGUUAGAAACAUCUUGAGAUCUUUGUCUUGUAGAUUUCUUAUUAAAGUUGCAGCUAUUGAAGAACAUUGAUUGGCACCAUGACCAGAAAUCAAGUGAUUAGCAAACUUGAAACUUUUGAGACUAAUCAAUUGAAGAAGAAGAAAGCAAAAAGUAUUGUUUUUCAAGUUGAGAUGCUAAAUUCAAAGAGUGAUAUUGAUGAUGCCAAUGACACUCACGAUGGAAUUAAAGAUGUGCAAAAAUCCCUGGCUAUGACACCAAGAAGGUUCAAAAUUUAACUUGAGAAAAUUCUGGAAACAACAACAAGAAAAAAUUCUCCUUAAAGCCACAACCUGCACAAAAGUGUAAAUUUUCUUCCAAUUCCAAUUUGUUUAAGACUAGUAUAAUUAAUUCAAAGUACUCGAUGUAGGGCCUGUGAUGGUUUUAGUCAUAUUUAGACCAAUUUUCUAAUUACAUCUCGAAAAAGAAGAAAGUAGUGCAAGCAACAUGGAGUGAUAAUGAUGACUUGAGCAUUGAUGAUGACAAUAUUGUUAGCGGACUUGUUGUUUAUGAUAAAAAGUUGGAACUUGAAGAUUCUGAUGAUGAAAGAUCAAAAUCAUGUGAUGUUUCUCUUCCUUGUUAUUAAUGGAUUCCUCCCGAUAAUAAUGUUAAAACCUCAAGUGUCAAGUCAAGUGAUGAAGAAUCUAAUUCAGAAGCCAAAAGUAGUCAAGAUGUUAAUACCAUUGUUAGAAUUAUAAGUGAAGCAUAUGAUCGCAUGUAUUCAUAAUGGAUAGUGUAUAUUUAUGUGCAAGAUUUGAAUCAUGUCCCAAGAAAUCUCAUUUGCUUGCUACUAAAAGAAUUUUUCAUUAUUCGAGUGGGAUAAUUGAUCUACGUCUUUGGUAUCUUAAAGAGACUCACAUAGAUUUAACAUGUUAUUCAAAUGUUGACUUCGUUGGAUAUGAAGUCGAUAGGAAGAGUACUAGUGGAACUUGUCACUUUUUAGGUCACUUGCUUGUCUCUUGGUUCAGUAAGAAACGAAAUUCAGUUGCUUUUUCAACCACCGACGUUGAAUAUAUUAUUGCCAUUAGCUAUUGUGCACAAGGUAUAUGGAUGAAACAAACCCUUAGGCUUUGUUUGGAUGUUUGAUAAAAGGUGUGAUUAGAUUAAUUUGAAAGAUAAAGAAAUUAAUCAAUUCCAAAGUCAUGUUUGACUGUCAGAACUAAUAAAUAAGUUCAAAAUUUAGUCUUACAUUCAUAGGACUAUCAAUUUCCAUUUUCAUGUGAGUUUAGAUAUGAUUAGAUAUCUUACGGUCUAAAUUUGUUACUAACAUCAAAAGUUUAUUCAAUAAUUUAUUUUUAACUUUUUAAAAUUUAAUAUUGAAUCAAAAUUUUAAUUCAAUAAUUUAUUUUAACUAGUAUGUAAUAUAUUAAACAUAAAAAAAUUAUUCAAUUAUUUAAUUACAAUAAUAUUGAAAUCUAAAUAUUAAAUUUAACAGACAGUAAUAUGAUUUAAAAAAUAAUAUACUAUUUAAAUAGUUAUUUUAGCUUCAUUAAAUUAAAUUUAACAUAGUCCUAUCCGACACUAUACCAAACAAAAGGCAAUACUAUAUAAUCCAAUCUAAUCAUAAGAGUUAAUCCAGUCCAAUCCGAUCUUCCAAACAUAGCCUUAGUGACUAUGGGAUUAAAUUUGAUCAUAUGCCUAUCAUGUGUGAUGAUACAAGUGCUAUAAAUCUGUCAAAGAAUCCUAUCCAAUACUUUAGGACCAAGCAUAUAGAGAUUAAAUUUCUCAAAACACUUUAAAAAAAUGGAAAAUUGCAGAUCGCACUUGUAACCUGCUGGCUUUUUCUUUGCAGUAUUUUAUUUUCAAAGCAUGUACGGGGCUUGUUAAAGUGUUUUGAGGUUGUUGGUUCACUAUUUCAUAUAUAUGAUUGAGCAUGAGGAAUUGAAAUUUGAUAAAAGUAAAUAUGAAAAGGUAGAUGCCGUAUUAUUCAAUUAUUAUCGAUUUAACGGAUAAUCAUGUUACACGUUGGACAUUUUCAUGCAUAAUUGAGCGAAGCUAGGAAUUUCGAGUACUAUACUUGAGAAAAAAUAGCUGCCAAUAAUGACUGGUAAAGUUUAAUAAGAGGGGCACCAUUGUCGGGAGGAAGACUUUUCUCAAGUAUCGUCCACGGAUUCGGUAGCUUUACAGUUGUUCACUUCGCAUUGGCUCAUCAAGUCUUCCACCACAAAUUAUAUUAACCCACUUUGACUUGUCAUCAUUGAAUCAAUAAGCAGAAGUGAAAAGCGAUAAAAAAUGACAUGCAAUCUCAUCUUAAUCCUAUGGAGAUAAAUUUUGAGUGAUGAUAUAGUCAUAAAUUUUUGUAUAAAUUUAUCUUGUAUAAAUUAAUGUGGUAUUAAUUUAUUGGUUGAAUAAAAAUAUAAAAUAAUAUAAAUAAAUUAUGUGGGUCAAGAGAUAUUUAAUUCAAUUAAUGAAUUAAUAUCACAUCAGUUUGUACAAAAUAAAUUUGUACAAGAGUUUGUGACUAUAUCAUUACUCAUAAAUUUUUGGGUAAGUUUUUCGUUAAUUUAAAAUUUGUCCUAAAUUAUAUUCUUAGUUUAAUUUUUAUUUAAAGUGAGCUUUUUGUCAUCACUAUAGAAUAAUUAUUAAGGGAAAGGAGGAAAUGCAUGUAUGAUUAUUAAAGUAGCACAAAAGAAAAUACAUAAUCCGAAAGAGAGAUAGCCUACCCAAAUAGGUUUAAGUUAUUCUAAUUUUAAUUUUUUAUUUAAAAUUUUAACAUAUAUCUUCAGUUAUUGAUUUAAAUAAUUUACUGAUAGAUAGUUGAAAGUUAAAGUAAUAUUUAACUUUUCACCACACGUUUGAAAAGUGUAGAUUAUUCGAUCUCAACCAUUUUCCUUUAACAAAACGCUGGUGGAGUCGAUUAUUAAUUUAUUAUUGUAGGGUAGCUAGCGGAGUUCAGCCGUUUUAGUGCUUUUUUAAUUGUUCAGAUUUUCAGUUGAUCAGUUAACAAAAUACAUAAUUCUUGGCCAGACGGGAUGUUAAAUAAAUUGAAAAGACAAAGAAAAAAAAAACCACUAAUGGGAACUUGUUUGUCUGCUUAACAUUUACAGCUGCUAAGUCUUUUAAGGCUUCAAUUAUCAUGAGUCCAUUUGUAAACAAAUCGACAGGGAUCAAAUUUCAAGUCAUGAACUUCGAUCGCGUCAACGUCAUGAAUCGUGUGGUAAUUAAAAUUUGAUGUUUCUUUGUCAUUUUUGUCACAAACUCUAUGAUCCUUAUCUUUCGCUUUGAAUUUAACCCUUAGUAAAUUACUGUUUUAUUUGACAAUUAGAUGCACUUAGAGAGACGUGUUAAACACUCCCAACAAAUUUUCUUUUGAUGACCUGAUAGAAAAUUGUCGUGUAUACGUAUUAAGGGAUUUUAUGGUAUUGUAGUUGGGUGAUAUAGUUUUAAGGUAUUUAGUAAACAUUGGGUGGUAAAGUUCUAAGGUAUUUAGUAAAUAUUUGUUAUUGUAAUUUAAACUUUCUUCGUAUGAUGAAAACUUAUAUGUCUGUGUUAGUUUUUUUAAAAUUAGUAUUUAGAAGUCAUAUUCACCUGACACUACGGUCCUUCUAUAAUAUGGGCACCCUCAUUUUUUUUUUUAUGCAGACACACUUUUAAGACUUGUAAUUUAAGAUAGUUAGUUUUUAAAUUUAUUAAACUUAAUUUUUAAAUUUAUUAAACCAUACGACUCUAUAGCUCAUUAAAAAAUAAAUCUAUUAAAUCUCAGGGCUUAAGAGUGUGUUCACAUUAAAAAUAAAUAAAGGCGCCUGCACUUGGGAAUGAAUAUAUAUUUAUCACAAAUAAAUAAAGUGGAAAUUAAAUCAAUAAAAUCCAAAGUAAUAAAUCAAUUACAAGAGACAUAUAUUUCUACAUGAAAAUUCAUAUUGAAAAAAAAAAAUACAAGACCGUAGUCUGAUAUAAUCUUUCAUUAUAUUAAUAAUGGAAUUACAAUAUAAUUUUUUUUAGAUAACACUAGAAUUUAAUAACACCAAGAAUCUCAACAAUAUUGACUUACAGUGAUAGUCUAAUAAAUGUCACUCUAACAAGUAGGUAUAUCAAAUAAUAACUAACAAGAGGAGAAAACAAAAAUCAAGACCAGUAAGAAUGUAGAGAGUAAUACCAGGAACUUACCAUCUAAUUCGGGAGAAAAUGGAGUUAAAUUGACCUUAUGAUCAUCCAAUUAAAGAUUGAAACAAGUUCACGCUACUAUCUUCUUUAUUCUCUCUCGUGUUUUUCAUGCUUUAUAAUGUAACAACCGCCACUUGCUCUCCUUUUUUCUUUUAUAGCCAGGUGAUUUUCAAAGGUAAAUUGAAUGGGAAUUUUUAAUUAGUUCUUACUUGUUUACUUUAAUUACUUAAACACCUAAACUAAUGAAAAUUUUAGGCUUAGGCUACCCAAAUGACAUGGAUCCAACAAAUCUCUCCUUCCAGAUCAUGUGGGAGGCUAACCAAGCUCGUUUUCUAUUUAAAGGUUUACAACUUCUCCUUGGGUAAUGAUUUUCUCAUCAUAUCUAACAUCAUUCUUCGCUGUGUAAAUCUUUUCAAGUUACAACUAUAUCUUCUCAAGCACAUUUUGUAUCCAAUGAUUUCAAUAUACUUGGAUUUCAAAUGGUAUGUUGAAUUAUUUACCCAGUGAAUGGCACUUUGACUGUCACAGAACGCAACAUAGCUUUUUUAUUUCAAAUCUAACACUUGUAGGAAAUUUUUCAUCUGCAAGGUUUCUUUGCAAUCUUUAGUGAUUGCAAUAUACUCUACUUUUGUGAUAGACAAAGCAACAUAUUGCUGAAGUUUGGAAUGCAUAAGAUUUGUCCUCUUGUAAAGAUGAGCAAAUAUUCUAAUAGAGAUUUUCUAGAAUCGACAUCUCCUAUCAUAAUUGCAUCUAUGUACACUUGUAACACAAGUUUGUCAUGACCAAAACAUAAACAUGCCCUGGAAGUACCUCUGAGAAUUCUGAGAAUACAUUUCACUACUGUCCAAUGUUUUUUGCCUGCAUUACAGAUAAACCGACUGACUACUUUAACUGCAUGAGCAAUAUCUAGCUUUGUACAAACCAUAGCAUUUAUCAAACUGUCAAUUGAUGAAGCAUAAGGAACUCCUCUCACCACUUGAUUCUCUUUCUCACUUGUAGGAUAAUGCCUGGAACUAAACUUGAAAUGACUUGCAAGUGGAGAACAAAUAAAAUUUUGCCUAUGUUAAAUCUUUCAAGAAUCCUUUCAAUAAAUCCUUCUUCAAAUAGCCAUAACUUCCUAGUUUUUCUAUCACGGGAAUUUUAAUGCCAAGAAUCUAUUUUCAUGCCAAGAUUUUGUUUUGCUAGUCCCAAGUUUGUCAUUACAAAAGACUUGCGAAGCUCUUUCUUUAUCAAUCUCACUAAUAUUCUAGCCAACAAUCAACUUGUCAACCACAUAAAGUAAAAGAAUGAUACCACUUGUUGGUAGGGUCUUGGCUAAUGAUUUUUAAAUAUCCAAAUCAAAAGGCUAACCUAUUUGGUGGAGUGGCCUAUGCUACUUAUGAACCCUACUAACUCCCCUUUACUAGCCAAUGUGGGACACAAUUCAACACUCUGUCAAUCGAAUAAAACCACUGUCGGACCCAAGUCUUUUCAUCUGACACUCUUUAGUUGUUUCACCAUCAUAUUCUGACUACUAAGAUUUAGCUCUAAUGCCAUUUGUUGGGGUCUUGGUCCAUCAUUUCUAGCCUCAACAAUCUUGGCUUACAAUAACAGCCUGAUAUUUGUUUCUAUAACAAGUGAGUAUCUCAAAUAGCAGCCAAUGAGAGAAUAAAACAAAAAUAAAGACUAGUAAGAAUAUAGAGGCUAGUGCCAGGAACUUACCUUCUAAAUUUAGGAGAAAACAAAGUUAAAUUUACAUUCCAAUUAUCCAAUUGAAGAUUGAAACCCUUGCCCUUAAUACAAGUUAAUGCCACUACUGUCUUCUUUCCUCCCUCUCAUCUUUUUCACGCCUUGCAAUGUAAUUUUUCUUUUAUAGUCACAUGAUUUUCAAAGCCAAAUAUGGCAUUUUUCAAUUAGCCCUAAUUGGUUUCCUUUAAUUACUUUAAGCACCUAAACUAAUGGAAACUUUGGGUUAUGACCACCUAAAUGAGGUGGAUCCAACAAACUAAUAAAGGUAAGUUACUUGAAUUUAUAAGUAGAAUACGUCACUUCAUCCAGUAGACUAGUCUUUUGUGCUAAAUGCUUAUAAAUCCUAUGCUAAGCCUCCCAACAUGUAUGACUCUUUCGCUAUAAUAAAUAGAGCUCAAACUCAUCUAAUUUGCAUCAAAUAUCAAUUAGCCCUACUUAGCCUAAUUGAAAGGAAUUUAGAUCUAUUACAAAUAGAUGUGGGCAAUUAAAAAUAAAAAAUUAAUUACUUAAUUAAUUUUCCUAAAGUACUAUUCACUGUUACUGUUUACUGCAACUAUUCACCGUUACUGUUCACGCUUACUGUUCAUCCGUAUAAAAAAUAUUAAUUUUCCAAAAACACAAUAAAAUGUAGAAAAUAAAUGACACAGAGAUUUUUACGUAGUUCGGAUUAAUCAAUUCUACAUCCACGAGGCCACGCCCAGAUGAAAAGCAAUUCACUAAGUUGAGAUAUUACAACCUAUGGAUUUACCAAACUUAAGAUUCUCACUUACAGUUUAUCACCAUACAGUUUACUCAACCUUAGACUGAAUCUGCUUCUCUUGAAUAAUCUCUACCCCUCUUGAUCCAUGAUCCUCAAGGUACUUCGUAAAGUGAUCAAUCGUAAUUCUGCAAUACUUUAACGUCUAGUGAUGCAAGAUCCACAUAGACUCUCCACAGAGAUGAAAAGAAGAUAAGAAAACAAAUCAACACAACAUGAUGUGCCAAAUCCGGAUUCUCUAGGGAGGAGGCCGAAUUUUGCUUCUCUGCUUUAUGCUCUGUGUUGUGCGAUCAACCUUCAAUUGUUAAAGACCUCUCUUUAUAUAGGCACUAGAGUUUUACCAAAAUAGUAAACGUUAAAAGACUUGGAUUCUUUCCAAAUAAGAGUUUCUUUCCUCUUAUAAUUCCUAUGAAUCUGAAUAUAAAUAAAUAUGAUCUUUUAGUCUUGCUUGUCUCCCAAGAAAUAUCUAGAUCAUUUAAUGACUUCUUGUUUGAACCAAAUUCUUCCUCUAAAUAGAUCUCAUGCGCCAAUUAUAGAAUCACACCAUUAAUUGACUUGCUAAAUUAGACAUCUAAUUAAAUUAGUAAACAAAUAUUCCUAAUAAAUUGGAAUCUCACUAAAUUAGAGAAUUAAUAAAUUAAUCCCUAUUACAAGAUAUGCAAUAAAUAAACUUCUAGUUUAACUAGACUUGCUAUAAAAUACCAACUCUAUAAAUAAUGACCUUAACACUAAUAAAGAUGAAUUUAAACGAUCGAGAGCGUGAUACUGAGCUACUUGAAGCUCAAAUUCAUGUUUGAAAUCACAUUUUCAAUUUCAUAAACUCCAUGACACUUAAAUGCGCUUUUCAACUAGGCAUCCCAGAUAUUAUCAACAAACAUGGCAAACCCAUGACCCUCAAUGAGCUUGUUAGUGCCCUAACAAUAAACCUAUCAAAAACCCAAUGUGUUAUCGCUUGAUGCACAUCUUGAUCCACUCAGGCUUCUUUGCACAGCAAAAGCUAGUUAGCAGCGGAAAUAAUAAUGACGAAGAACAAGGUUAUGUUCUAACGAAUGCUUCUAAACUUCUCCUAAAAGACAACCCCUUAAGCGUGACACCUUUCUUGCAAGCCAUGAUAGA
rnacentral:lncRNA from 1 species